AGAGAAGCGCGCCCCGCGGUCUUCCGGGCCGCUGGGCCGAGGAGGUGCCGAGGGGCGGCGUCCAGCCGCGUCCUCAGGAGCUACCCCGGUUAGGGAGGUGCUGUCCUGGCGUCGGGUGGGGACGGGGAGCGCGUCGAGGGUGCUGCGACUUCUGCCCACCUGGCCCGGCCUCAGUCUCUGAGUUCCUGUUCCUCACAGGAGCUAAUUAUUUAUGACAGCUGCAAGGUGCCCCUCCCCCAGUUACUCAGUGCUUGGCACUCAGCACCCCUUAACUCAGCACUCAGUACCGCACUCAGCCUCUGAGGACCUGGGCAGAGGGAAGCAGGGAGUCUCCUGCGGAAACUCUUGCUCUGCCAAAGUAGGUUGAAAGGUCGGAAAUCGGUGGUUUUGGGCCGGGCUUUGGGCGGCAACCCAGCUUCUCUGGGCCUGAUAAGGGUCUUGUGCUGUCCCACCUGGAAAACUCAGAUAACCGAGCUGGCGAGGCCCUUGUCAAGUCCUUCCGGUAGCUCGGUCACUAGGGGCCUGGACAGCGAAUGAGGAAGACUUACUGCAGAAAUUCAGAGCCUAGCAACCUGGACCAGGGUGGAGGCAGCAGACGAGGUUUAUAUCAUAGGGCUCAGAGAUGUUCGCCAUCUGAAACGCUGACCUCUGGGAUAAGCUUAAUGUUGAUACCCAACUUAAGAAGAGGCUAGCCAGCGCGAGAGAGGAACUCAAAUGCCCAGCUCGUGGGUUGCUACUCAUUGCUAUUCAAGAGGAGCUGGUCAAAAACACAUCUCAUGCAACCAUGUAAUGCAAGAUUUUACAACUUCCAUAGGAAUGAGGCAGAUCUACAUGUUGCAAAACAGAACAGACGCAAAUGGAUAUAUACAGUUACAGGAAAAACAAUGGCGAGUACAUGUCAUCAGCAUUCUGGCAUGAAGGAGUCCUCAGAGAAAUGGCUGACUGCCGUCCGGAUCACCCCAAAGUAAAACCCAUCCACAGCUCCACGGAAACACAGAGCACAGCUUCUCCAUGCCCCUAGCUUUGAGUCAUUAUAAAGGCAAUCACGGACUCUCAGAAAAGCGUAACUGGCUUGUAAAACAUGUGUUUAUGGACUUUCUUUUUUUUUUUUUUCUGAGAUGGAGCCUCGCUCUUGUCACCCAGGCGGCAGCGAUCCUGGGAGUGCAGUGCUGCAGGCCCGUCCAUGCCUGAGCUGCACCUGGAGGCGUCCUCCACCCCUGACUACUGUCAAUGAAGACAGUCAAACUCUAAAAUAUUUGAAGAGAUUUCCUGUGAGCCAAAUAUGAGUGACCAAUUCUUACAGCGGGUAGCAAGUCAGACAUGAGCAGACAGGAGAGGGCCCCCCUCCAGCCAGGAGUGUCAGGCGACCAUCAGGGGAUGGUCAGGUGGCUGUUAACUGUCUCGCUAAAGUAAUUAGUUGCAGCUGGCACCAAGGAACAGCAGCCUCCCCCCCCCCGCCCUCAAUAGACAGAAACACCUGCAACUGGUGAUCAGCCACUUCCUGAUAAGAUCUCAGGAGCUGGGCAAGUGGCUCAAGCAUGUGCACUAAGAGGCAAACCUGGAGGACGAUGUUCCUCUAGGAACACUGGGCUGGAGGACGACGUUCCUCUAGGAACACUGGGCUGGAGGACGACGUUCCUCUGGGAAUACUGGGCUGGUAAGGGAGGAAUGCCUCAAAGGAGCACGCGUACAACUCCAGUAAACCCACUGUGCAUGCAGGCCCUACCAGGUGCUGGCAGGCCACUGUGCAUGUGGACAGCCCACCCCACAGGAAGAAUCAGGGGAGAAGGGAUGCAAGACGCCUGGCCCUAAGUCAAAGGCUGUGGACUUGAUCUCGCGAGUCACCCACUUGGUCCUCUUCCAAUUAUACUUUCCUUCCUUUUUUUUCCUGCUCUGAAUGUUUAAAUAAAUUCACUCCUGCUCUAAA
ensembl:lncRNA